UUGUUGGAGGUAGAGCACUGGAUGGUCUAGGGGGCUUAUCGGCUUACCGAAAUCAGCCAAACUCCGAAUGCUGGCAAGUGUAGCGUGGCAGUGAGACGGCGGGGGAUAAGCUUCGUCGUCGAGAGGGAAACAGCCCAGAUCAUCAGCUAAGGCCCCUAAGUGGUGACUCAGUGGGAAAGGAUGUGGAGUUGCGUAGACAACCAGGAGUUUGGCUUGGAAGCAGC
rnacentral:rRNA from 1 species